AAAAACAUGGCUUAUUUGAUAAAAAUAAUAGGUCUAUUCUGCCCAUUGAUUAAAAUUAAAAGGCUGCAGUAUAUUGACUGUACAAAGGUAGCAAAAUCAUUUGUUUUUUAAUUGAAAACUGGAAUGAAAGAGUGGAUGAAAUAUAAAUUGUCUCAAUAUAAAAAUAUUGAAUUUAAAUUAAAAGUUAAAAUGCUUUUAUAUAUUUAUAAGACGAUAAGACCCUAUAGAAUUUAAUAAUGUUUAUUUUUUAAAAUUAAUAUAUUAAUAAAAUUUAAUAGGUAAAUAUAUUUUAUUGGGAGGAUAGUUAAAUAAAUUAAACUUUAAUAUUAUUAUAACAUAGAUUAAUGAAUUAAUUAAUUGAUUAUUUUUAUAAUUAUUAGAAUAAAUUACCUUAGGGAUAACAGCGUUAUAAUUUUGGAGAGUUCAUAUUGAUAAAAUUGUUUGCGACCUCGAUGUUGAAUUAUGAUAAAAGUUAAGUGGAGAAAUUUAAAUUUUUAGUCUGUUCGACUAUUAAAAUCAUACAUGAUUUGAGUUCAGAUCGGUGAAA
rnacentral:rRNA from 1 species